UGCCAGAGGUUACUGCUAUCGGUGUUCGCCUAAGCCAUGCGAGUCAUAUGUUCUUCGUGAACAUGGCGUACUGCUCAGUAACACGUGGAUAACCUGCCCUUGGGUCCGGCAUAACCCCGGGAAACUGGGGAUAAUUCCGGAUAACGCAUAUAUGCUGGAAUGCUUUAUGCGUCAAAUGGAUUCGUCUGCCCAAGGAUGGGUCUGCGGCCUAUCAGGUAGUAGUGGGUGUAAUGUACCUACUAGCCGACGACGGGUACGGGUUGUGAGAGCAAGAGCCCGGAGAUGGAUUCUGAGACAUGAAUCCAGGCCCUACGGGGCGCAGCAGGCGCGAAAACUUUACAAUGCGGGAAACCGUGAUAAGGGGACACCGAGUGCCAGCAUCAUAUGCUGGCUGUCCGGGUGUAUAAAAUACGCCUGUUAGCAAGGGCCGGGCAAGACCGGUGCCAGCCGCCGCGGUAACACCGGCGGCCCGAGUGGUGAUCGUGAUUAUUGGGUCUAAAGGGUCCGUAGCCGGUUUGGUCAGUCCUCUGGGAAAUCUGACGGCUUAACCGUUAGGCUUUCGGAGGAUACUGCCAGGCUUGGAACCGGGAGAGGUAAGAGGUACUACAGGGGUAGGAGUGAAAUCUUGUAAUCCCUGUGGGACCACCUGUGGCGAAGGCGUCUUACCAGAACGGGUUCGACGGUGAGGGACGAAAGCUGGGGGCACGAACCGGAUUAGAUACCCGGGUAGUCCCAGCCGUAAACGAUGCUCGCUAGGUGUCAGGCAUGGCGCGACCGUGUCUGGUGCCGCAGGGAAGUCGUGAAGCGAGCCACCUGGGAAGUACGGCCGCAAGGCUGAACUUAAGGAAUUGGCGGGGGAGCACAACAACGGUGGAGCUGCGGUUUAAUUGGACUCAACGCGGACAACUCACGGGGGCGACAG
rnacentral:rRNA from 1 species